UUUCCACAAACGAUAUCCUCAACAACCGGCCUUGACAUAGCAAUGGACAAUAAGUAGAUCGGAUUCUUUCAAAGUACAAUAAUAUUGUUGCACAGUGCUUAAUUUUAUAUCGUUAGGUAAUCAUUUGGUGAUGGCAUGAAGCCACUAGCUACGCUAGUUACAAAAAUCUUGGACUGAAGAACUGAACCCCACUCCAUUACACUGUGACCAGAAAAGGAAAAGCAAACGCGAUUAUUGAUGCUCAUUCUACAAGCCCAAACUCAUCUAAGACAUGGUCACGUGAAUGCCAAACACAACUGUAGCAGGCGCAGAACGUAAGCCGUACCAUGCAUCUGGUUAGACAGCCGGAGGAGACANN
rnacentral:lncRNA from 1 species